GUAAGAACCUCAUCUUUCUUGAUCUGAAGAUAUUGGGGUUUAGAUAUAUUGUGCCCAGUGGGCCACUUUUGGUAAGCAGAACUGGCGCUGUGGGAUGAACCAAACGCGAUGUUACGGCGCCUAAAUUAAUGACUCAUAUUGAUACCAUGAAAGGCGUUGGUUGCUUAAAACAGCAGGACGGUGGACAUGGAAGUCGUAAUCCGCUAAGGAGUGUGUAACAACUCACCUGCCGAAGCAACUAGCCCUUAAAAUGGAUGGCGCUCAAGUCAUAUGCCUAUACAUCGCCGCUAACACAUAAGCGCUGCAGUGCCCUGUGCGUGCAGUGCGUCAAGUGUUAGUGAGUAGGAGGGUACAAUGGUGUGCGCAGAAGUGUUUGGUGUGAACCUGCAUGGAGCCGCCAUUGGCACAGAUCUUGGUAGUAGUAGCAAAUAAUCGAACGGAAUCCUCGAGGACUGAAGUGGAGAAGGGUUUCGUGUGAACAGUGGUUGAUCACGAGUUAGUCGGUCCUAAGGACUAGGCGAAAGCUGUUUAAUUUAUGUUACAAUCCAUAUACCGGUGUCGUACAUAAUUUAAUAAGUCCGAAAGGGAAUACGGUUCCAAUUCCGUAACCUGUUGAGUAUACGUUUGUUUAAUUAAAAAUGGGUCUUAUUACACUCAUCCUGGUAACAGGAACAACCAUAGAGAAGCCUUCGAGAGAUACUGGAAGAGUUUUCUUUUCUGUUGAACAGUCGUAAGUGCAUGGAAUUCUUUCACAGAGAGAUAUGCACUAUGGACUGGAAGAGCAUGACAUUUACUGUUGUGUCAGUAUUUUCUCCUUGGACCUUGAAAAUCUAUGGUGGGGCCACGCAAACAUCUCAACAGACCGUACCGAUAUCCGCAGCCGGUCUCCAAGGUGAAGAGUCUCUAGUCGAUGAGA
rnacentral:rRNA from 1 species